rnacentral:miRNA from 1 species
GUUUGGGCCCUGCUCCUCAUA